GGCCCUCUGCCCGCUCUGUUCAUCGUGUGGUGCGAGGGCGAGAUCUGAAACGAUGAACUAAGCUUGUAGAUGUUUACGACCUAACUCUCUGGACGGGGGUUCGAUUCCCCCCAUCUCCACCA
rnacentral:tRNA from 1 species